UACGUAGGGUGCGAGCGUUAAUCGGAAUUACUGGGCGUAAAGCGUGCGCAGGCGGUUUGUUAAGACAGAUGUGAAAUCCCCGGGCUUAACCUGGGAACUGCAUUUGUGACUGGCAAGCUAGAGUAUGGCAGAGGGGGGUAGAAUUCCACGUGUAGCAGUGAAAUGCGUAGAUAUGCGGAGGAACACCGAUGGCGAAGGCAAUCCCCUGGGCCUGCACUGACGCUCAUGCACGAAAGCGUGGGGAGCAAACAGG
rnacentral:rRNA from 1 species